CUUGCACCUUUCAAGCGAGUGGCGAACGGGUGAGUAACACGUGGGAAACCUACCUCUUAGCAGGGGAUAACAUUUGGAAACAGAUGCUAAUACCGUAUAACAAUAGCAACCGCAUGGUUGCUACUUAAAAGAUGGUUCUGCUAUCACUAAGAGAUGGUCCCGCGGUGCAUUAGCUAGUUGGUAAGGUAAUGGCUUACCAAGGCGAUGAUGCAUAGCCGAGUUGAGAGGGUAAUCGGCCACACUGGGACUGAGACACGGCCCAGACUCC
rnacentral:rRNA from 1 species